rnacentral:rRNA from 1 species
UACGUAGGGUGCGAGCGUUAAUCGGAAUUACUGGGCGUAAAGUGUGCGCAGGCGGCCGAGCAAGUCGAGUGUGAAAUCCCCGGGCUUAACUUGGGAAUUGCGCUCGAAACUACUUGGCUGGAGUGUGGCAGAGGAAGGUGGAAUUCCACGUGUAGCGGUGAAAUGCGUAGAGAUGUGGAGGAACACCAAUGGCGAAGGCAGCCUUCUGGGCCAACACUGACGCUCAUGCACGAAAGCGUGGGGAGCAAACAGG